GGCUCAGGACGAACGCUGGCGGCGUGCUUAACACAUGCAAGUUGAACGGUAUGACAUGGAAGCUUGCUGAAGUGUCAUAUAGUAGCGGACGGGUGAGUAAUGCAUGAGAAGCUGCCAUUGGAGGGGGACAACAGUUGGAAACGGCUGCUAAUACCCCGUAUGCCGGAGGGUGAAAGGGAGUAAUCCGCCCGAUGAGGUGCUCAUGUCCUAUCAGCUGGUUGGUGGGGUAACGGCCUACCAAGGCGACGACGGGUAGCCGGCCUGAGAGGGUGAACGGCCACACUGGAACUGAGAUACGGUCCAGACUCCUACGGGAGGCAGCAGUGGGGAAUAUUGGGCAAAUGGGGGCAACCCUGACCCAGCGACGCCGCGUGGGGGAAGACGGCCUUCGGGUUGUAAACCUCUUUUGUACGGGAAGAAGGAAGUGACGGUACUGUACGAAUAAGUCCCGGCUAACUACGUGCCAGCAGCCGC
rnacentral:rRNA from 1 species